rnacentral:rRNA from 1 species
CACUUAGAUGUUCUGGGCUGCACGCGUGCUACACUGAUAUUGCCAAUAUGUCAUUCUUAUCCGAAAUGGAUUGGGUAAUCAAGUAAUGAAAUUUCAUGCUUGGAAUCGGUAAUUGCAAUUUUAUCGUGAACGAGGAAUUCCUAGUAAGCACUAGUCAUCAGCUAAUGUUGAUUAUGUCCCUGCCCUUUGUACACACCGCCCGUCGCUACUACUGAUUGGGUGUUCAAGUGAGAUGCUUAGACCCUUGUUGCAUGGUUCAUUAUUGUGCUCCGAAAGGAAAAAGUUUCAAGCUUGAGUGUCUAGAGGAAGUAAAAGUCGUAACA